UACAGAGGGGCAAGCGUUGUUCGGAAUUACUGGGCGUAAAGGGUUCGUAGGUGGCCAACUAAGUCAGACGUGAAAUCCCUCAGCUCAACUGGGGAACUGCGUCUGAUACUGGUCGGCUUGAGUGCAGGAGAGGAACGCGGAAUUCCAGGUGUAGCGGUGAAAUGCGUAGAUAUCAGGAGGAACACCGAUGGCGAAGGCAGGUCUCUGGGCCACUACUGACGCUGAGAAGCGAAAGCAUGGGGAGCGAACAGG
rnacentral:rRNA from 1 species